GUCUGUAGGAGGUCAGAGAUAUACAGGGACUAACGGUCUGUAGUAGGUCAGAGAUAUACCAGAUAUACAGGGACUAACGGUCUGUAGGAGGUCAGAGAUAUACAGGGACUAACGGUCUGUAGGAGGUCAGAGAUAUACCAGAUAUACAGGGACUAACGGUCUGUAGGAGGUCAGAGAUAUACAGGGACUAACGGUCUGUAGGAGGUCAGAGAUAUACCAGAUAUACAGGGACUAACGGUCUGUAGGAAGUCAGAGAUAUAAAGGGACUAACGGUAUGUAGGAGGUCAGAGAUAUACAGGGACUAACGGUCUGUAGGAGGUCAGAGAUAUACAGGGACUAACGGUCUGUAGGAGGUCAGAGAUAUACAGGGACUAACGGUCUGUAGUAGGUCAGAGAUAUACAGGGACUAACAGUCUGUAGGAGGUCAGAGAUAUACAGGGACUAACGGUCUGUCGGAGGUCAGAGAUAUACAGGGACUAACGGUCUGUAGGAGGUCAGAGAUAUACAGGGACUAACGGUCUGUAGUCGGUCAGAGAUAUACCAGAUAUACAGGGACUAACG
ensembl:lncRNA